rnacentral:rRNA from 1 species
GCUAAGAAUCUUCCGCAAUGGGCGAAAGCCUGACGGAGCGACGCCGCGUGGAUGAAGAAGGCCGAAAGGUUGUAAAAUCCUUUUCUUGAUGAAGAAUAAAGGUGGGAGGGAAUGCCCACAAGAUGACGUUAGUCAAGGAAUAAGCCCCGGCUAAUUACGUGCCAGCAGCCGCGGUAACACGUAAGGGGCAAGCGUUGUUCGGAUUUAUUGGGCGUAAAGGGCGUGUAGGCGGUUGUCCAAGCCUGGUGUGAAAGGCUCUGGCUUAACCAGAGUUAGGCGCUGGGAACUGGGCGACUAGAGUUCAGGAGGGGAAGCUGGAAUUCCUGGUGUAGGGGUGAAAUCUGUAGAUAUCAGGAAGAACACCGGUGGCGAAGGCGAGCUUCUGGCCAUGGACUGACGCUGAGGCGCGAAAGCGUGGGGAGCAAACAGGAUUAGAUACCCCAGUAGUCC